ACCAAACGGAGCACAUUAUAACCGAGGAUUCUUCCUGAGUAAAAGUACAUAAUUUUUUUUUAAGUCAUACCUUUGUGCUUGUACUGCUACUAUACAUGUGUAUGUAGUAAUAAACAAGUUUUUUUUAUAAAGUUAUAUUUUCGGGUGUUUCGUGUGACUCCGGAUACAUAUUUCGUUCCGAUAAUCAGCGUAGAAGUAAAACUUAUAUUACCGAAAUUUAAAAUAAAAUUGGCAGGGAUUGUACUAAAAAGGAAUUACAGCACUACGAUACCGGAUCACUUUAUAGCGAGGAGGCCUCUACGCUUCGUGGGACUGCAGUAUCGACACACAAUGUAAGUGCUUUGGUCAUAAUUUUCUUCCACCCUACUGUUUGCUUUAUAUAUUCUUAUUUUCU